GCGUCAAUAGUGCAACGGAAAGAGCACACGAAUUCCCGGAAAGAGUGAGGUGCGGGUUCUAGUCCCGCCUGAGGCG